ACUACACGACCCUAAUGGGAGCCAAGAUGGAAGUUCAUUAAGGUCAUUCUUGCCUCCAGGCAACAAAGUUUAGUUGUAAAACUUUAUUAUUUUAUUGUUCUUAUUAAUACUAAUGAUAGAGCACGCUUAUUAAAAGCCGUUCAUUAUCAUUUAAUCCCCUUAACUGAGGGAGAUAAAUGCUAUUAUUAUCUCCAAUUUUCAUGAUGAGUAAAUUGACCUGAGAGAAGUUGGUAAGGUACCCAAAGACAGCUUUUAGGAGACAGAGCCUGAGCAUGGACGCAGAUGUCUCUGAGUGCAGAGUGUGUGCUUUUUCCUGUUCUGUCAAGUGUUAGAUGCACAGCUAGGGUUCAGGGUCUGGGCUGGGCUGAUUUCAGCUACAGCAAUCCUACAGGUGGUCUUUCCAAGCCUGGCACUGCAAUCUUGGCUGGAGGGUAAGUGUGUGAUGUUGUUUGAGUCUUUAUUUAUUUAUUUAUUUAUUGUUUGACUCUUUAAAGGGGAGAGGUGGGUCCGGCUGCAGCAGGGGCAGCGGGAAGAAAAGGAAGGAGGUGCCCUCCACCCCCAAUUGGGAGACCCACAGACUCAGGAGGAGACACUCAACUCUUAGGAGUGACCAAAAUUGAGUCACAUGGCUGCAAGGGAUCCUGGGGAAUGGCAUCUUUUUGUGUGCCCAGGAAGAAAAAGAGACAUGCCUGAUGAACAGCUGGGUGCAUCUCUUCUUCCAAGACUGUGUCUACAUGGACAGAAGAAUGCUCAGCCUAUUUUUGACUGACCUGGAUCAUUGUGGCCCCGAAGCAGAUUUAUUUUCUUGAAAUAAAUCAUUUGAUUUGGC
rnacentral:lncRNA from 1 species